CUGGCGGCGUGCCUAACACAUGCAAGUCGAACGAUUCUUUGAUUAUAGCAAUAUUAUUAAAGAGGAGUGGCGAACGGGUGAGUAACACGUAGAUAAUCUGCCUUCAGACGGGGACAACUCAGGGAAACUUGUGCUAAUACCCGAUGAGACCACAAGAAGGGAUUUUUGUGGCCAAAGGCGGGCAGCAAUGCUCGUGCUGAAAGAUGAGUCUGCGUCCUAUCAGCUAGUUGGUGGGGUAAAUGCCUACCAAGGCUAAGACGGGUAGCCGGCCUGAGAGGGUGAACGGCCACACUGGGACUGAGACACGGCCCAGACUCCUACGGGAGGCAGCAGUGAGGAAUUUUCCGCAAUGGGCGCAAGCCUGACGGAGCGACGCCGCGUGAGGGAUGACAGCUUUCGGGUUGUAAACCUCUUUUAUUAAGGAAAAAGAUCUAUAUGCUAAUAUCAUGUAGAUUUGAUGGUACUUAUUGAAUAAGCCCCGGCUAACUACGUGCCAGCCGCCGC
rnacentral:rRNA from 1 species